GACGAACGCUGGCGGCGUGCUUAACACAUGCAAGUCGAACGGAAAGGCGAGGAGUUUGUGGGGCGGUCGAGAGGCGAAGGGGGGAGUAACACGUGAGUAACAGGCCCCUGACUUAGGGAUAAAAUCAGGGAAAUGGGGCGAAUACAGGAUAGGAGCUCCUGCUGCAUGGUGGGGGAUGGAAAGAUUCGGCGGUGGGGGAUGGACUAGCGGCUUAUGGGCUGGUUGGUGGGGUAGUGGCGUACGAAGGCUAUGAAGGGUAGCCGGCCUGAGAGCGUGACCGGCCUCCUUGCUCCUCCGGUACGCCCCAGUCUCCUACCGUCGGCAACAGUGGGGAAUCUUGCGCAAUGACCGGACGCCUGAUGCGGCAGCCCCCCGUGCGUGAUGCCGUCCUUCGGGUUGUGAACCGCUUUCUCCUGUGACGAAGCGUUAUUGACGGUAAUGGGUAAAGAAGCACCGGCUAACUACGUG
rnacentral:rRNA from 1 species